rnacentral:tRNA from 1 species
UGGUGUUAGCUCAGUGGUUAGAGCACCCACUACCUAUGUACGAAGUCAUGGGUUCGAGUCACCAUAGCGGCAG